rnacentral:rRNA from 1 species
AUUAUUAUACCACGUUGAAAACAUUGGUUCUCAUCAGAUCCCUGAAGUUAAGCAACGACAUGCUUGGCCAGAACUUGGGAGGGUGAUUACCUAGAAAUACUGGGUACUGUAGUUU